CUCCUUCGGAGUCCGCAUUGUAAUUUGCAGAGGAUGCUUUGGGUGCGGCCCCCGUCUAAGUGCCCUGGAACGGGCCGUCAGAGAGGGUGAGAAUCCCGUCUUGGGCGGGGUGUCCGUGCCCGUGUAAAGCUCCUUCGACGAGUCGAGUUGUUUGGGAAUGCAGCUCUAAAUGGGUGGUAAAUUUCAUCUAAAGCUAAAUACUGGCCGGAGACCGAUAGCGCACAAGUAGAGUGAUCGAAAGAUGAAAAGCACUUUGAAAAGAGAGUUAAACAGCACGUGAAAUUGUUGAAAGGGAAGCGCUUGCGACCAGACUCGCCCGCGGGGUUCAGCCGGCAUUCGUGCCGGUGUACUUCCCCGUGGGCGGGCCAGCGUCGGUUUGGGCGGCCGGUCAAAGGCCCCUGGAAUGUAGUGCCCUCCGGGGCACCUUAUAGCCAGGGGUGCAAUGCGGCCAGCCUGGACCGAGGAACGCGCUUCGGCACGGACGCUGGCAUAAUGGUCGUAAACGACCCGUCUUGAAAACGGGACCAAAA
rnacentral:rRNA from 1 species